GCUUAUAGCAUAGCGUUAAUGCACUAGAUCCCAUUAGAACUCCACAGUUAAGCACGCUCUAGCUAGAGUAGUCCUAGUGUGUUACAUGCC
rnacentral:rRNA from 1 species